GAGUUUGAUCUUGGCUCAAAGCGAACGCUGGCGGCAGGCUUAACACAUGCAAGUCGAGCGGGCCCUUCGGGGUCAGCGGCGGACGGGUGAGUAACGCGUGGGAACGUGCCUUCUGGUUCGGAAUAACCCUGGGAAACUAGGGCUAAUAUCGGAUACGCCCUUUUGGGGAAAGGGUUUACUGCCGGAAGAUCGGCCCGCGUCUGAUUAGCUAGUUGGUGGGGUAAUGGCCUACCAAGGCGACGAUCAGUAGCUGGUCUGAGAGGAUGAUCAGCCACACUGGGACUGAGACACGGCCCAGACUCCUACGGGAGGCAGCAGUGGGGAAUAUUGGACAAUGGGCGCAAGCCUGAUCCAGCCAUGCCGCGUGAGUGAUGAAGGCCUUAGGGUUGUAAAGCUCUUUUAUCCGGACGAUAAUGACGGUACCGGAGGAAUAAGCCCCGG
rnacentral:rRNA from 1 species